rnacentral:rRNA from 1 species
CCUACGGGGGGCAGCAGUGAGGAAUAUUGGUCAAUGGACGAGAGUCUGAACCAGCCAAGUAGCGUGAAGGAUGACUGCCCUAUGGGUUGUAAACUUCUUUUAUAUGGGAAUAAAAUGUUCCACGUGUGGGAUUUUGUAUGUAACAUAUGAAUAAGGAUCGGCUAACUCCGUGCCAGCAGCCGCGGUAAUACGGAGGAUCCGAGCGUUAUCCGGAUUGAUUGGGUUUAAAGGGAGCGUAGGUGGAUUGUUAAGUCAGUUGUGAAAGUUUGCGGCUCAACCGUAAAAUUGCAGUUGAAACUGGCAGUCUUGAGUACAGUAGAGGUGGGCGGAAUUCGUGGUGUAGCGGUGAAAUGCUUAGAUAUCACGAAGAACUCCGAUUGCGAAGGCAGCUCACUGGACUGCAACUGACACUGAGGCUCGAAAGUGUGGGUAUCAAACAGGAUUAGAUACCCUGGUAGUC